GCGGCAUGCUUUACACAUGCAAGUCGAACGGUAACAGGGUGCUUGCACCGCUGACGAGUGGCGAACGGGUGAGUAAUGCGUCGGAACGUGCCGAGUAGUGGGGGAUAACGCAGCGAAAGUUGUGCUAAUACCGGAUAAGCCCUCACGGGGAAAGAUUCAUCGCCGAAGGAUCGGCCCGCGUCUGAUUAGCUAGUUGGUGGGGUAAUGGCCCACCAAGGCGACGAUCAGUAGCUGGUCUGAGAGGAUGAUCAGCCUCACUGGGACUGAGACACGGCCCAGACUCCUACGGGAGGCAGCAGUGGGGAAUAUUGGACAAUGGGCGCAAGCCUGAUCCAGCCAUGCCGCGUGGGUGAUGAAGGCCCUAGGGUUGUAAAGCCCUUUCGGCGGGGAAGAUAAUGACGGUACCCGCAGAAGAAGCCCCGGCUAACUUCGUGCCAGCCGCCGCAGUAAAAC
rnacentral:rRNA from 1 species